UACGUAGGGUGCGAGCGUUGUCCGGAAUUAUUGGGCGUAAAGAGCUUGUAAGUGGCUCGUCGCGUCGGGAGUGAAAACCCGCGGCUUAACCGCGGGCCUGCUUUCGAUACGGGCGGGCUAGAGUUCGGCAGGGGAGACUGGAAUUCCUGGUGUAGCGGUGGAAUGCGCAGAUAUCAGGAGGAACACCGGUGGCGAAGGCGGGUCUCUGGGCCGAUACUGACACUGAGAAGCGAAAGCGUGGGGAGCGAACAGG
rnacentral:rRNA from 1 species